AUUGAACGCUGGCGGCAGGCCUAACACAUGCAAGUCGAACGGUAACAGGAAACAGCUUGCUGUUUCGCUGACGAGUGGCGGACGGGUGAGUAAUGUCUUGGAAACUGCCUGAUGGAGGGGGAUAACUACUGGAAACGGUAGCUAAUACCGCAUAACGUCUCAAGACCAACGAGGGGGACCUUCGGGCCUCUUGCCAUCGUAUAUGCCCAGAUGGGAUUAGCUAGUAGGUGGGGUAACGGCUCACCUAGGCGACGAUCCCUAGCUGGUCUGAGAGGAUGACCAGCCACACUGGAACUGAGACACGGUCCAGACUCCUACGGGAGGCAGCAGUGGGGAAUAUUGCACAAUGGGCGCAAGCCUGAUGCAGCCAUGCCGCGUGUAUGAAGAAGGCCUUCGGGUUGUAAAGUACUUUCAGCGGGGAUGAAGGGAGUAAAGUUAAUACCUUUGCUCAUUGACGUUACCCGCAGAAGAAGCACCGGCUAACUCCGUG
rnacentral:rRNA from 1 species